rnacentral:tRNA from 1 species
GGAUUGUGGCUCAGAGGUAGAGCACUCGCCUAGCACACAUGAGGCCCUGGGUUCAAUCCUCAACACCA